GAUGAACGCUAGCGACAGGCUUAACACAUGCAAGUCGAGGGGCAGCGGGGGAGCAGCAAUGCUCCUGCCGGCGACCGGCGCACGGGUGAGUAACACGUAUGGAACCUGCCCGCUGCAGGGGGAUAAGCGGAAGAAAUUCCGUCUAAUACCGCGUAACACCGCGGAGGGGCAUCCCUCGGCGGUUAAAGAUUCAUCGGCUGCGGAUGGCCAUGCGGCGCAUUAGCUAGUCGGCGGGGUAACGGCCCACCGAGGCGACGAUGCGUAGGGGUUCUGAGAGGAAGGUCCCCCACACUGGUACUGAGACACGGACCAGACUCCUACGGGAGGCAGCAGUGAGGAAUAUUGGUCAAUGGCCGGGAGGCUGAACCAGCCAAGUCGCGUGAGGGAAGACGGCCCUACGGGUUGUAAACCUCUUUUGUCAGGGAGCAAGAGGCGGGUCGGGACCUGCUGUGAGAGUACCUGAAGAAAAAGCGUCGGCUAACUCCGUGCCAGCAGCCGCGGUAAUACGGAGGAUGCGAGCGUUAUCCGGAUUUAUUGGGUUUAAAGGGUGCGCAGGCGGAGGCACAAGUCAGCGGUAAAAUCGCGGGGCUCAACCCCGCUCCGCCGUUGAAACUGUGUCCCUUGAGUGCGCGAAGGGUAGGCGGAAUGCGUGGUGUAGCGGUGAAAUGCAUAGAUAUCACGCAGAACUCCGAUCGCGAAGGCAGCCUACCGGCGCGCAACUGACGCUCAUGCACGAAAGCGUGGGUAUCGAACAGGAUUAGAUACCCUGGUAGUCCACGCAGUAAACGAUGAAUGCUAUCUGUCCGGCCGGAAUGACGGCUGGGUGGCACAGCGAAAGCGUUAAGCAUUCCACCUGGGGAGUACGCCGGCAACGGUGAAACUCAAAGGAAUUGACGGGGGCCCGCACAAGCGGAGGAACAUGUGGUUUAAUUCGAUGAUACGCGAGGAACCUUACCCGGGCUCAAACGACGCAGGGAUGUAUGUGAAAGCAUACAGUCCUUUCAGGACCUGCGUCGAGGUGCUGCAUGGUUGUCGUCAGCUCGUGCCGUGAGGUGUCGGCUUAAGUGCCAUAACGAGCGCAACCCCCAUCUUCAGUUGCCAUCAGGUAGAGCUGGGCACUCUGGAGAGACUGCCGGCGCAAGCUGCGAGGAAGGCGGGGAUGACGUCAAGUCAGCACGGCCCUUACGUCCGGGGCGACACACGUGUUACAAUGGCAGGUACAGCGGGAAGCCAGGCGGCGACGCCGAGCGGAACCCGAAAACCUGUCUCAGUUCGGAUCGGAGUCUGCAACCCGACUCCGUGAAGCUGGAUUCGCUAGUAAUCGCGCAUCAGCCAUGGCGCGGUGAAUACGUUCCCGGGCCU
rnacentral:rRNA from 1 species